UUUCAUGGCAGCCGUGCGUGGGCGGACUUUGGUCCGACCGCGUUUCUGUGUCCGCGGACUUCUCACCUCGCGCACGGCUGCCACCCAC
rnacentral:antisense_RNA from 18 species